rnacentral:lncRNA from 1 species
AAAGAAUGCAAUUUAACUCCAACCAAACCCUAAACCAAUGAUUUCUCUCGGCCAAUUUCCUGCGAUUCUCAUGAUUUUGGUCGAUAAUUGGCGACCCUUUUUAACGUUUUUCAUCAGCCAUCAUCAAAUCAUACCUCUUUCUCCAUUCAAUUUGAGGUGAGGACCAAAGUUUUGUUAGUUUUCCUGGUAAAUUCUUUUACUUUCCCGUGUAAUUUGAUUUUUAUGAAGACAAUCAUUAGAAAUGAUGUUGUGUUAGGACAUCUAUUGAAAUUAUGAGAUACUUGCCUCAGCAAGUAUUCAAGAAAGUUUGACAGCGGCACCAAUGACAGAACUAGCAGAGCGGAUAUGAAGAAGGGUAGUGAUUGGUGGCGAAAUACGGAAUAAGGGUAGUGAACAGUGGUGGAAUAAUGGAUUUGGAAGCAGUGUCCGAUGCAUUGAGGUCUAAAGUAGGGAUGCAAAUUCAUUGAGGAAGAUAAUAGUUCGGGAGGUGGUGGAAAUACAGAAUCCUGUACAAAAUGUGAGGUUCUCGACUGUUGCUAAUCCACUGCACCUUAGGAUUCGAGGACUAGGACAACAGAGUGAGACGGAGCGGCUUCAGCGAGGAGAGAUAGAUGGGUGGUAGACAAGUUCUAUCUAUCUAGUUAUAUACAAAUGAAGAAUAGCUG